rnacentral:rRNA from 1 species
UACGGAGGGUGCAAGCGUUAUCCGGAUUCACUGGGUUUAAAGGGUGCGUAGGAGGGCAGGUAAGUCAGUGGUGAAAUCCCCGAGCUUAACUUGGGAACUGCCGUUGAUACUAUCUGUCUUGAAUGCUGUGGAGGUGAGCGGAAUAUGUCAUGUAGCGGUGAAAUGCUUAGAUAUCGGGAGGAACACCUGUGGCGAAGGCGGCCCCCUGGUUGGAUACUGACGCUGAUACGCGAAAGCGUGGGGAGCAAACAGG